rnacentral:rRNA from 1 species
CCAAUAGCGUAUAUUAAAGUUGUUGCAGUUAAAAAGCUCGUAGUUGAAUUUCGAGACCGGUUUAUUGGUCGUGCUUUUGUACGUACUGGUAUUAUUGGUUUCUCCUUUCUGACGAAUCAUAAUGCCAUUAAUUUGGUGUUUUGGGGAAUCAGGACUGUUACUUUGAAAAAAUUAGAGUGUUUAAAGCAGGCUCACGCUUGAAUACAUUAGCAUGGAAUAA